UACGUAGGGACCAAGCGUUGUCCGGAAUCAUUGGGCGUAAAGAGCGUGUAGGCGGCUUGUUAAGUCUUGCGUGAAAUCUCGGGGCUCAACCCCGAGCGGUCGUGAGAAACUGGCAGGCUAGAGUGCGGGAGAGGAGAGUGGAAUUCCUGGUGUAGCGGUGAAAUGCGCAGAUAUCGGGAGGAACACCAGUGGCGAAGGCGGCCGCCUGGCCUGUAACUGACGCUGAGACGCGAAAGCGUGGGGAGCGAACCGG
rnacentral:rRNA from 1 species